AGUGAACGCUGGCGGUAGGCCUAACACAUGCAAGUCGAACGGCAGCACAGUAAGAGCUUGCUCUUACGGGUGGCGAGUGGAGGACGGGUGAGGAAUACAUCGGAAUCUAAUUUUUCGUGGGGGAUAACGUAGGGAAACUUACGCUAAUACCGCAUAAGACCUACGGGUGAAAGCAGGGGAUCUUCGGACCUUGCGCGAUUGAAUGAGCCGAUGUCGGAUUAGCUAGUUGGCGGGGUAAAGGCCCACCAAGGCGACGAUCCAUAUCUGGGCUGAGAGGAUGAUCAGCCACACUGAAAAUGAAACACGGUCCAAACUCCGACGGACGCGACCGUGAUGCAAUAUUAAACAAUGUGCGCAAGCGUGAUCCAGCCAUACCGCGUGGGUGAAGAAGUCCUUCGGGUUGUAAAGCCAUUUUGUGGGGAAAGAACAGCCACAGGUUAAUACCCCUCUAUUAUAACGGUACCCAAAGAAUAAGCACCGGCUAACUUCGU
rnacentral:rRNA from 1 species